GAAAAUAUACAGGGUACCGGUACACCCCCUUGUACCGGUACUAAAAGCUGAAAAUCUGAAAUUUGCAGAUUCCAGUGCUAACUUCUGCUCUCGCGUCCCACUGAGUCCGUUUUGCGUCUAUUUCGCGCCAACGCGACUCGGACUUGUCCCGACACUCUCUAGACUUGUCGACAAGCCUCAAAUGCUGUACUCCAGGGAUACUACAAUUUGAGAUACUGAUGUUGCACUACAUCAUCAAAUUAUGUCGAAUAUUCAAUGGUUUAAUUUAUUGCUAUUGAUCUUGUUAAUUUCUAUGAUGAGAUUUUAUACAAUGGAAGUGAAUGAUAAGACCAAAAAAAUUAAUAAGAAUUUUUGUAAUUUUCAAAAUUAUUAUUAUUGUAAGUUAAAAUUAGAUUUAAUUAUUUUAAAGCUUUUUUUUUUAAAUUACGAGAUUUGAUUAGAAUUAAAAUUAGGAUUUGAAUAUAAUAAAUAGAUUUGAUAUGUAUUGUAUAAAAAGAAUAUUGUAUCCAAAUAUAUAUUCGAUUUAUUUUAAAUUCAAAGAAAUAUUUGACCAUAUCCUAAUAUGUUUUUAGCAGAUAAGGUAAAAAAAAAUUAGCAUCUGACAUAUAUUGUAUCUGAAUUCAUAUCCAAAAAAAUAUGGAUGUAGAUAUAGUUUUGUUAAAUAUCUAUAAAUGUCCGAUCCGUUUUUACCAAACUCUUUCUUGUCACUUAUUAAAAUAUUUAACUUUUUUAGUUGUGUUGGAUAAAGAUUCUCACCACUUGAGAAAAAAAAAUACAUGCAAUUAUAACUUGUCAAUAACACUUUUUUA
rnacentral:lncRNA from 1 species